rnacentral:rRNA from 1 species
AAUAAAACCUAAAGGCGCAUUGAAAGAGAAAAUCGGCCUUGCGUCGAUCGAGGGAGGAUGGGCGAUGUUCUUGCAUAGCUCCGCACUCCCGGGGCGUCUCGUUGUCAUUGCGACAUGAGGCGCACCUAGAGCGUACACGUUGGGACCCGAAAGAUGGUGAACUAUGCCUGGUCAGGAUGAAGUCAGGGGAAACUCUGAUGGAGGUCCGUAGCGAUUCUGACGUGCAAAUCGAUCGUCGG